UAUCACCUGAAGAGGGAGUCGAUUGCCAGUAAAUUAUCAGAAAAUACUUUCAAUCGGCUGAGAAUCGACCUGAAGAGAAUCAAACCGUCAGCCAUUGAGGGGAUUGAUGGCUGCCGGAUUCUUUCUUCCCUCCAGAUGAAGACAUAUAUCACCAGAUUUAGCAUGUAUAUGUAUGGAUAUUGAAUAAAUACUUGGCUGCCAUGUUUCUUUUUUACAAAAACAAUAUAAAUCAAAAAGUGAUGUAGUAACGGAAUAUUAUUCUGGAUCUUUCAAGGAGUGGAAGGUUACUCGCUAAGAGUCUGGGGAGCAAUUCGCUUAAAUGUCCGGUCGAGCGAAAAAAGCUUUUUCUAUAUAAAGAAAAAAAACUGUGCGACCCUUGAUGCGGAAAUGCGAGAACUAAACUUACCCUCUGUCUCUUGCCCUAUCAGCACGUUUUACUUCCUUUCCGCGGAAUUGUAUUAGCCUUUACGAGGUUCCCUUCACCUCUCACCACAAUAAAGUGCAGUGACACUUGAUACCUAUCAGCAACAAAAGCCAAAAUGCUAGUCUAUCAAAAUUCUAACUAGGUAACUCCGACAAUAUCACAUUGAAUAUGGGUUUGAUUAUUCGCUUUCGAAGGAAUAAAUUGAGAGUGAAAAAAUGCAAUCUUUCAACUUACCAGUAUCUUCACUCUAUUCCCAUCUCCGUAUCUUUCAGAAGGGGGAAAAAAUAAAAAGAAGAAGAAAAGACGAGUGAAUAUGGGCUCUCAGGAACAAUAUAUAUAUAUGGGCCUAGAAAGACACUCUUGCACUUUGUCUUGAGUGGCAAAAGAGUGACUUUGCUGUCUGGUCCUAUCCCGUGCAGGCCAUUUUUACUUUCUUCAGAUAAGCAUCGGUACAAAAAUUAUAUGAAUAAAGGAGAAAUUAUAAAAUAGGGGAACAGAAGACUUAAAGAAGUGGUCGGUCUAUUUCAUGAACGGGAAUCGUCAGGGAAAAAUACCGAAAUGUUGAAAUAAAUUCAUGGCUAAAUAAAUCGGAACGUAGUGAAACAAAAAGCUCCACC